GGGGCUGAACGGUUUCGACUUUGGUCGUUCGAAUCAUGUGAAGCGAGCCGAGGACCCAGGGUCAUCUCGUCAACGAUCCCUGGAAACCAAUAAGUGCCAAUGCAAAGCGCACUCACUUCGCUCUUGCUGCCUAAGCAGUAAUCGAAGGGUCGGUCUGGAGGAGCCU
rnacentral:tmRNA from 1 species